GACGAAGGUGGCGAGCGUUACUCGGAAUUACUAGGCGUAAAGCGUGGGUAGGCGGUUCGGUAAGUCUGUUGUGAAAGCUCCCGGCUCAACUGGGAGAGGUCAAUGGAUACUGCCGGACUUGAAUGUGGGAGAGGUCACUGGAAUUCCCGGUGUAGCGGUGAAAUGCGUAGAGAUCGGGAGGAACACCGAUGGCGAAAGCAGGUGACUGGACCACUAUUGACGCUGAGCCACGAAAGCUAGGGGAGCAAACAGG
rnacentral:rRNA from 1 species